AAUGAUCUCAAUCAUGAUUGCCACUUUUGAAGGAUACGAAGAUUCUCUCUUCACUUUCUCUCUCUACUUUUUCUCUCAUGAUUGACUUUCUCUCUCUAAAAAGAUCUAUGAAUCCUGUAUCGAGUCAUGCCUUCAUCUUUUAGAGGCUCAUAUUGACUCUAAUAAGAUGAUCCAAAGUUGCUUUGAUAUCCGUGCUGUAUGUCAACUUCAUUUGGCCAUAUCAAGUAUUUUUCAAACCCAUUAUUAAAGAACCUUAUUGAUUGAUCUUAACCUUAAUACGAUCUGUGCUUCACGAUUUCUUGAUCAAGUCACUUAAAUCUGACCCUCAGAUCAGAGACCCUGAAUUAUCCUGGUAUUUGGAUGGACCGACACAUCCGGACAACAGUCCUCUUUCCUUAUGAUUUAAUCUUAUUAUAUUUAUGAAAUACAAAUUGAUGAUGAUUUGAUAUUUUAAAUAGGAUUAGUUGAUUCUUUUAACGAAGUCUGAAGAUCUAAGAUGAAUGAGGUAAGUAGACCUUAUGCUCCUUAUUUAUUUUUAAAUGAUCAUAUUUUUAUGCAAAAAAUUGCUAUUGAUGAAAUCAUAAUUUUUCAUAAAAUAAGGAUCGGCAUAUGUGAUAUGAAAAAGUAUGUUUUAUUAUGAGCAUUGAUUUCAUGAAUAUGUCUUAUGAAAAUAGUAUGAUUAUGAAGCAUGAAUUUCAUUAUUUUUCUAUCUAUGUAUAUGUAUGCUUUAAGAAAAAGAUAUAAUGAUUUCAAAGGCUCUCAGAUGGCUAUGAAUGAAUCCCUUCGGAAAGGUCGACAUCCGGAGCUAGCAUCCACACG
rnacentral:lncRNA from 1 species